rnacentral:rRNA from 1 species
AACAGGAUUAGAUACCCUGGUAGUCCACGCCCUAAACGAUGUCAACUAGCUGUUGGGGCCUUCGGGCCUUGGUAGCGCAGCUAACGCGUGAAGUUGACCGCCUGGGGAGUACGGUCGCAAGAUUAAAACUCAAAGGAAUUGACGGGGACCCGCACAAGCGGUGGAUGAUGUGGAUUAAUUCGAUGCAACGCGAAAAACCUUACCUACCCUUGACAUGUCUGGAAUGCCGAAGAGAUUUGGCAGUGCUCGCAAGAGAACCGGAACACAGGUGCUGCAUGGCUGUCGUCAGCUCGUGUCGUGAGAUGUUGGGUUAAGUCCCGCAACGAGCGCAACCCUUGUCAUUAGUUGCUACGAAAGGGCACUCUAAUGAGACUGCCGGUGACAAACCGGAGGAAGGUGGGGAUGACGUCAAGUCCUCAUGGCCCUUAUGGGUAGGGCUUCACACGUCAUACAAUGGUCGGGACAGAGGGUCGCCAACCCGCGAGGGGGAGCCAAUCCCAGAAACCCGAUCGUAGUCCGGAUCGCAGUCUGCAACUCGACUGCGUGAAGUCGGAAUCGUUAGUAAUCGCGGAUCAGCAUGUCGCGGUGAAUACGUUCCCGGGUCUUGUACACACCGCCCGUCACACCAUGGGAGUGGGUUUUACCAGAAGUAGUUAGCCUAACCGCAAGGGGGGCGAUUACCACGGUAGGAUUCAUGACUGGGGUGAAGUCGUAACAAGGUAACC